UACGUAGGGGGCUAGCGUUGUCCGGAAUCAUUGGGCGUAAAGCGCGUGUAGGCGGUCCGGUAAGUCCGCUGUGAAAGUCGGGGGCUCAACCCUCGGAUGCCGGUGGAUACUGUCGGGCUUGAGUACGGAAGAGGCGAGUGGAAUUCCUGGUGUAGCGGUGAAAUGCGCAGAUAUCAGGAGGAACACCAGCGGCGAAGGCGGCGCUCUGGGCCGGUACUGACGCUGAGGAGCGAAAGCGUGGGGAGCAAACAGG
rnacentral:rRNA from 1 species